UACGAAGGGGGCUAGCGUUGUUCGGAUUUACUGGGCGUAAAGCGCACGUAGGCGGAUCGUUAAGUCGGGGGUGAAAUCCUGGAGCUCAACUCCAGAACUGCCUUCGAUACUGGGAAGCUCGAGUCCGGGAGAGGUGAGUGGAACUGCGAGUGUAGAGGUGAAAUUCGUAGAUAUUCGCAAGAACACCAGUGGCGAAGGCGGCUCACUGGCCCGGUACUGACGCUGAGGUGCGAAAGCGUGGGGAGCAAACAGG
rnacentral:rRNA from 1 species